CGCAACACACCUUUCGUCACAAACCACCAGAUCACAGCGUUAGACUGGCGCACCUCGAAAGACGACUGAGCAGACCAUUGUCUGCGGAGCAACAAGCAGCCACGGUCGCUGAAUUAGUCCAGGUUACGGCGCAGCGCGACGCUCACGAAGCCCUUAUGGCAGCUGACAGAAGGCGCCAUACAACCGGCGGGAACGUGACAAAAUAGAAAAACGAUGCCAUACUUGCGUUGCAUCACAACCUCAGUGACAAAACCCUGGCCUGGAAGCUAAUCUUUACCUUUAUCUAUAAUUCUCUAAAGUUUAUUGUUAAAAAAUAAAUAUUUAGAUAGAAUGGUUGUCUCCUCGUUAAAUAUGUUCAAGGUUCGCUCGUAAUUAUGAAAUGCUGUUGCCAAAAUUUAUGGCAGAACUUUGCAGUCUUAUAAUGUUAAUACAUUAUAGACAAAAAUGUAAUAAAAUAUGUAAAUUGGUGCCCGAAUGUGGCAUUGUUACCCUGAAAGCAAUUUUCUAAGUCUCGCUGUAAAUUAUAAGAUUGUAGGAAUAUUAUUUAUGUAUAUUUUUAAAUCAAUAAAUCAUGACUUGACAAUAUACUUUGUAAACAUAUAUCCGUAUAUUUUAGUUAAAUAUCUGCGAACAAUCUAUACUAGUAUUUCCAAAGGUGAACUUUGAGAUAUUUCUAAUCAUUGAGCUUUAUUUAGUUUUAUUAUUUAGAGAUUAAUGACUACUUUUUUAUAAAACUAACGAGAACAUACAUAAAAUUUUGUUAAAGCACCUACAAAUUUGUGUUUUUUUAAAUUUCGUAGAUCAAACUGAUAUGCCCAGUAAUUUUAAUAUAGUAAUAUAACGUAAAAUGUUUUUUAUAUGAUUAUUUAAAUAUUUGAAAGAAUAACCUGCAAUUAAAUGCAUAAAUAGUUUUAAUAAUUCAGUACAAUCAAUGUUAUUACAACGCAAAAAUUUAUAUUUGGUUGGAUUUUGUUUAUUUUAUACGAUAACAGAUUGUACAUAUUUAAAAAUAAUAGAUUUUACAUCACAAAUAUAGUCCACGAAGUAAUACAUCACAUUGCUAUAAGCCACGUAGUUUUAAAAUUAGCAAAUUUGAAUAUAUACGAAAUA